AUUGAACGCUGGCGGCAUGCCUUACACAUGCGAGUCGAACGGCAGCACGGGUGCUUGCCCCUGGUGGCGAGUGGCGAACGGGUGAGUAAUACAUCGGAACAUGUCCUGUAGUGGGGAAUAGCCCGGCGAAAGCCGGAUUAAUACCGCAUACGAUCUACGGAUGAAAGCGGGGGACCUUCGGGCCUCGCGCUAUAGGGUUGGCCGAUGGCUGAUUAGCUAGUUGGUGGGGUAAAGGCCUACCAAGGCGACGAUCAGUAGCUGGUCUGAGAGGACGACCAGCCACACUGGGACUGAGACACGGCCCAGACUCCUACGGGAGGCAGCAGUGGGGAAUUUUGGACAAUGGGCGAAAGCCUGAUCCAGCAAUGCCGCGUGUGUGAAGAAGGCCUUCGGGUUGUAAAGCACUUUUGUCCGGAAAGAAAUCCUUGGCCCUAAUACGGUCGGGGGAUGACGGUACCGGAAGAAUAAGCACCGGCUAACUACGUG
rnacentral:rRNA from 1 species